rnacentral:rRNA from 1 species
GAGGUUGAUCCUGGCUCAGGAUGAACGCUGGCGGCGUGCCUUAAUACAUGCAAGUCGAACGCACAGCGAAAGGUGCUUGCACCUUUCAAGUGAGUGGCGAACGGGUGAGUAACACGUGGACAACCUGCCUCAAGGCUGGGGAUAACAUUUGGAAACAGAUGCUAAUACCGAAUAAAACUCAGUGUCGCAUGACACAAAGUUAAAAGGCGCUUUGGCGUCACCUAGAGAUGGAUCCGCGGUGCAUUAGUUAGUUGGUGGGGUAAAGGCCUACCAAGACAAUGAUGCAUAGCCGAGUUGAGAGACUGAUCGGCCACAUUGGGACUGAGACACGGCCCAAACUCCUACGGGAGGCUGCAGUAGGGAAUCUUCCACAAUGGGCGAAAGCCUGAUGGAGCAACGCCGCGUGUGUGAUGAAUGCUUUCGGGUCGUAAAGCACUGUUGUAUGGGAAGAACAGCUAGAAUAGGGAAUGAUUUUAGUUUGACGGUACCAUACCAGAAAGGGACGGCUAAAUACGUGCCAGCAGCCGCGGUAAUACGUAUGUCCCGAGCGUUAUCCGGAUUUAUUGGGCGUAAAGCGAGCGCAGACGGUUGAUUAAGUCUGAUGUGAAAGCCCGGA